GUUAUUUGGCACUGGUAUUAAAGUAUUUGGCACUGGUAUUAAAGUAUUUGGCACUGGUAUUAAAGUAUUUGGCACUGGUAUUAAAGUAUUUGGCACUGGUAUUAAAGUAUUUGGCACUGGUAUUAAAGUAUUUGGCACUGGUAUUAAAGUAUUUGGCACUGGUAUUAAAGUAUUUGGCACUGGUAUUAAAUUAUAUGGCACUGGUAUUAAAGUAUUUGGCACUGGUAUUAAAGUAUUUGGCACUGGUAUUAAAGUAUUUGGCACUGGUAUUAAAGUAUUUGGCACUGGUAUUAAAGUAUUUGGCACUGGUAUUAAAGUAUUUGGCACUGGUAUUAAAGUAUUUGGCACUGGUAUUAAAGUAUUUGGCACUGGUAUUAAAGUAUUUGGCACUGGUAUUAAAGUAUUUGGCACUGGUAUUAAAGUAUUUGGCACUGGUAUUAAAGUAUUUGGCACUGGUAUUAAAGUAUUUGGCACUGGUAUUAAAGUAUUUGGCACUGGUAUUAAAGUAUUUGGCACUGGUAUUAAAGUAUUUGGCACUGGUAUUAAAUAUUUGACACUGGUAUUAGUUAUUUGACACUGGUAUUAGUUAUUUGACACUGGUAUUAGUUAUUUGACACUGGUAUUAGUUAUUUGACACUGGUAUUAGUUAUUUGACACUGGUAUUAGUUAUUUGACACUGGUAUAAGUUGGCACUGGUAUUAUUUGACACUGGUAUUAGUUAUUUGGCACUGGUAUUAAAGGCACUGGUAUUAUUUGACACUGGUAUUAGUUAUUUGGCACUGGUAUUAUUUAUUUGGCACUGGUAUUAUUUGACACUGGUAUUAAGGUAUUUGGCACUGGUAUUAAGGUAUCUGCCACUGGUAUUAAGGUAUUUGGCACUGGUAUUAAGGUAUUUGGCACUGGUAUUAGUUAAAAGUCCUUGGUAUUUAGCUAUCUGGCACCAUUCACUGGUAUCAAGCUCUGGCACUGGUAUAGAAUCACUAAGCACCGACAUGGGAUCACAAGGCACCAUUAAAUCACCAGUUACCUUGCAUCCCUAAAUUAUCACACGGGUAUUAAAUCACUGGUAUGGGCUCACUGGGCACUCACUGGCACUCUGAAUUUACCGUAACUAUCAGGUAUGUCAGAUCAAGUCAGCACAGUUCCUAGCUUUGGUACGAGUCACUGGUAUAUUGAUGAUGACCAGUACGAGGCAAAUGGUAUGAUGAAGUAGCUACCAUUUCUAAGCACUGGUAUGUUAUUGACUACCAGGACUAUUAAGCAACUGAUGGUAUAUGAACAGUGGUAUAUACGGAGACAAUGAGGCAGUGUAAAACCUCUUGUAUUAUGGACUACCAGUAUCAGGUCACCAGUAUUAGGUCACCAGUAUUAGGUCACCAGUAUUAAGUCACCAGUAUUAAGUCACCAGUAUUAAGUCACCAGUAUUAAGUCACCAGUAUUAAGUCACCAGUAUUAAGUCACCAGUAUUAAGUCACCAGUAUUAAGUCACCAGUAUUAAGUCACCAGUAUUAAGUCACCAGUAUUAAGUCACCAGUAUUAAGUCACCAGUAUUAAGUCACCAGUAUUAAGUCACCAGUAUUAAGUCACCAGUAUUAAGUCACCAGUAUUAAGUCACCAGUAUUAAGUCACCAGUAUUAAGUCACCAGUAUUAAGUCACCAGUAUUAAGUCACCAGUAUUAAGUCACCAGUAUUAAGUCACCAGUAUUAAGUCACCAGUAUUAAGUCACCAGUAUUAAGUCACCAGUAUUAAGUCACCAGUAUUAAGUCACCAGUAUUAAGUCACCAGUAUUAAGUAAGUCAGUCACCAGGUAAAGUCAGUCACCAGGUAAAGUCAGUCACCAGGUAAAGUCAGUCACCAGGUAAAGUCAGUCACCAGGUAAAGUCAGUCACCAGGUAAAGUCAGUCACCAGGUAAAGUCAGUCACCAGGUAAAGUCAGUCACCAGGUAAAGUCAGUCACCAGGUAAAGUCAGUCACCAGGUAAAGUCAGUCACCAGGUAAAGUCAGUCACCAGGUAAAGUCAGUCACCAGGUAAAGUCAGUCACCAGGUAAAGUCAGUCACCAGGUAAAGUCAGUCACCAGGUAAAGUCAGUCACCAGGUAAAGUCAGUCACCAGGUAGUCACAGGUAUGGAUCACUCUGGUUCAUCUAGUCA